rnacentral:lncRNA from 1 species
AGAACCACGUCUGUGCGGAAAAACAACCACUUUACUUUCCAUUCUGCUGCUGAGACGACCACAUCCUCUUCACACGUACCCCAGGCUCCCAUGGAGAGCUCAGGUCAGUAUGACCGGGUUGGGGGGGGCGGGGAGGGGAGAGAGGGGUCGAGUGCGUCCGGCUGCCUCGCAGGGGAAGGCCUCCCUGGCAGGUGACAGUGCCCCCCUGGGGCUGCCAUCUCAGACCCCCAUCUCAGCCGCCCCAGUGUGAGAACAUCUUGAGAAGCGGACCUCCACGCCCUUGUACGAGCCCCGGCUCCUUGCAGGUCACUGAGCUGGACACUGAGGAGGAGAAUGACAAUAGCCAAGAUCUAUCGCCAGAUGCUUGGGUUCAUUUACCAAACGCCUCGGUAGCAGUUACAAUCUAUCAAGUCGUGAUAAAAGCCCUUGACAAGUAUUAACUCACGGAGUCCUCAUAAAGACCCCCUGAGAUAGAUGUUAUCGCUGCCCCCAUUUUACAGAAAGAGAAAGUGAGGCCCAGCGGGGACAGGUAUUGCUCCCAAGGCCACAUAGCUUUGUACAGUCAAACCAGCACUUGACCCCAGCAGGCUAGCUCCAGCGCCGUGCCCUUAACGAUUUCGCUGUGGCUUUCCCCGGGCAGUCGUCAGAAGGGUUCUGUGUGGGACAAUAUCAAUGCCCUUGUCCCUGUUUUAUGGAAAAGGGGAACAGAGGCUCAGAGAGGUUAGGUCAUCUACUCAAAGCUGCACAGCUAAUAUCGGAACCAAGGUCUAGCUCACGGCAAAGCCCACGCUCUUCACACUUUGUCAACCUGGGACGAGGGAUGACCUUUCCCUCAAGAUGCGGAUCCCCUAAUGGUCACCCAGGAAGUCACAGAGCACUUCUCACGAGGCUUAGACGCUAAUGCCCCGGAAGACCCCUAUCCCAGGGAAGGGGAAGGCACAGCCAAGGCAAGUGAAGCUCCACGGGUCGUUAUUAUCCCUAAGACACGCAUCCUUUCCACACCCCGUCACCGUCAGAGCCUCCCACAGCCGGAAGAGGCUCGGGCUGAAUCAAGCAAGCCCGCAAAUCCCUGUGUUGCGAUAUUCCGGGUUAUCUUUCACCAGCUGGGGUUUGCCCGGUCCAGAGGGUGGCAGAGUGGGGCCAGCAGUGUGAAAAUCCCAAUAUUACUUUUUUAAAAAAAUUUUUUAAAUGUUCACUUAUUUUUGAGAGAGACAGAGACAGAAUGUGAGUGGGUUAGGGGCAGAGAGAGAAGGAGACACAGAAUCCGAACCAGGCUCCAGGCUCUGAGCUGUCAGCCCGGAGCCCGACGCGGGGCUCGAACUCCCGAGCUGUGAGAUCGUGACCUGAGCCAAGGUCGGACGCUCAAACGACGGAGCCACCCAGGCGCCCCGAAAAAUCUCAACAUUUCAAAACCAACUUACUUUGCGCUGGCUUUACGUCGAACAUUAGAUGCACGCCAUGCUGCGUUUUAGGAAGAGAGGUGUGCCAGUGAAGUUCGUUUGGAUACAAGCAGUAGAAACGCAUGUGGCUGGUUUAAUUUCCCGAACACAAAGAGUGCCCUUCACGCGUUCCUGCCCGCCGGCCAUCACCGGCGCAGGGCUCACCCAGGGGGAGAGAGAGUCCACUGGCCAGCUUGGGCCUCCACCGAAGAUGUGACAGAGGGCCGCCCCCGAAUCAAAUGGGGGAAAGAAAACAUCCCCCAGUUAGGAUGCUGGCCCCGGAAGCUCCCCAGGGGCGUCUCGCCAUCACGAUCAGAACUGAAGUUGUCCCGGCUGUCUUCCCAAAUUACAGAUGCCUAGAACUUGCCCCACCUUCCUGUCGCUCUAAGGGGUUCUCUCAUCCUAGCGUUCAGAAGAGGGGCCCCUGAAAGGGAAGGUAUUUCUUUAGAGGCAUGCAAAAGGCAACGCUCCAAGGCGCCCGAGUUAACUGUCAUUUGGCCAUCCCUGCAAACAGGGCCAAGAAUGCAAACCAUUUUUGAACGACCUGAGCCCUUGUUCCACGUGGGGGUCAGGGGGCCCCGGGCAUGGGCAUAAAAGAGAAGUGGGAGCCACAUGACUCCAGCCAAUGGUGCGUCUGGGUGCUGAGGGCAGAUUUCAGUAAGUUGAGAUGUCGAGACGGAGCUGUGGGAGCACCGGGGCCUUUCAGGCGAGUCCUGAGUCCCCCGGUUGAGAGGCCGGUCCGUGAGGUCCACGUGGUCAGCGUGCGGGGACUCGUGGGAUCUGGGAGAACGGACCCCAGCUCCGGGGUCAAGGUGGGGGAAGAGUCACCCUCUGAAAUGGAAACCAAGCUGCUAAGUGACAUUCCCCUGCACGGAACCAACCUGCCUCAGGAGUCCCCCGUCCGAACAGGGCCACAGGUGAACUGUGCUGUCCUCGACUGUUUUAUGGCUCACCCGGCGUGAAGUAACGGGCCCUGGGGUUAGUUUUCAAAGAGAGGGGACCAGAGUCUGUUGGUGCGUUCUCCCUCUCCGUCCAGGGAGGGGGUGCUGAUUCUGGUGGCUGCUGCCCAGAAGGCAGAAUAGGGCGAUUCUUCCCAGCGCCCUAGUUGGAGGAAACGUCCCUUGGGAGUCGCAAAUUCAACCUCUUGGGUGAUAAUUUUGUGUGUCCCAAGUGACCUGAGGUUGCCUGUCACCCUUUCGUCUGGAGGGACAUGUCCACUUCUUCUGAUGCGGAUGGAUGCCGUGGUCCUCUUUGGCUGUGUUAGCGAGGUUUUCUCCACAGAAACAGCCCCCGUAGGAUAUACACACAUAUAUGGGAUGAGAUUUAUUUCUUUUAACAUUUAUUUAUCUAUCUAUUUAUUUAUUUAUUUGUUUAGAGAGGGGAGAGGGACAGAGAGAGAGAGAGAGGGAGAGAGAGAGAGUCCCAAGCAGGCUCCAUGCUGUCAGUACAGAACCCGCCACGGGGCUCAGUCCCACGAACCAUGAGAUCACGACCUGAGCCGAAAUCCAGAGUCAGAUGCUUAACCCACUGAGCCACCCAGGCACCUCUAGCGUGAGAUUUAUUAUAAGAUUUAUUAUAUUUAUUAUAUGAGAGUUAUGGUAUAUAUUUAUUAUAAGGAGGUUUAUUAUAUUUAUUAUGAAGAUUUAUUCACGUUACCAUGAAGGCUAUUUGGGGGCGGGUGGAGGGUGUCAGCCUUUUGUUCUAUUCAGGCCUUCUACUGAUUGGACGAGGCCCACCCACGUUAGGGAGAGCCACCUGCCGACUCAGUCUACUGAUUUAAAUGUUUGCCUCAUCCAAAAACACCCUCGUAGAGACACCCAGAAGAAUGUUUGACCAGAUAUCUGGGCCCCUUGUGGCCCUAGUCAAGUUGACACAUAAAAUUAACCAUGACAAGUAGGUGUGGGGUAACUUGCAGAAGACAAAGACUGGUCUGCUCGGAAAAAUCUUGGAAGAUUUUCUUCAUGUCAUGGCUGGACCUCGAGCACUGAUGUCUACUGCCCAGCUCCCAGGGUUACGUUUCUUCUCUUUUUAUUUUUUAUUUUUUUAAUGUUUAUUUAUUGUUGAGAGAGAGACAGAGAGACAGAGCAUGAGUGGGGGAGGGGCAGAGAGAGAGGGAGACACAGAAUCUGAAACAGGCUCCAGGCUCUGAGCCAUCAGCACAGAGCCCGACGUGGGGCUCGAACUCACGGACCGUGAGAUCAUGACCUGAGCUGAAGUCGGACGCUUAACAGACUGAGCCUUCCAGGCGCCACCCCCCCCCACCACAGUUACAUUUCUGAACAGACACCACACCUAUUGCAAAACAAGCUAACAAACAAUGACAACUUUCAACUUUCUCCAAUUAUUUCCUUUGCAUCUCCUUCUGCCACCGUGACAGCCAGGAAGGAGCCAUUCUGACCCUGUGACCUUCAUUCUUAUGCAGGGAUGAUUGUCCUCUGUGAAGCCUGAGCAUUUUAGCACUUGACUCCUUUCUUGACUAACAGGUCAAUUACCCAGAACUCUAAGCUUAUCACUUAAGACAGUAAUUCACAUCCUGAUGAUACAUUAGACCGUCCUGGGGAGCUAUUAAAAAACAAACAAACAAACAUUAGUUCUCAUACUCUGAUAUCUGAUUUAAAUUGGUUUCGGGUGAGCUGUAUAUUAGUGAGGUUUUUUAAAGUUUAUUUUAUUUUAUUUUAUUUUGAGAGAGAGAGAGAGAGAGCACACGCACAGGGGAGGAGCAGAGAGAGAGAGAGAGAGCAGGGAAGGAGCAGAGAGAGAGAGAGGAAGAGAGAGAAUCCCAGUCUCCAUACAGUCAGCACAGAGCCCAGCGUGUGACUUGAUCUCAUGAAACAUGAGAUCAAGAGUCAGACGCUCAACCCACUGAGCCAUCCAGGUGCCCUGUAUGUUAGUGUUUUUUAAAGCUUUCUGAGUGAUUCUCCUGGGAAGCCAAGAUUGGGAAGGGGGGAAAAGGAAAACAUUCUAUGAAGCAUUUGGGAGAGAUGUGAUUCUGUCUGGGAUCACAGAAGGCUGGAAUGGCCAGAAAUUGAAGAGUGGCCCUUGAGCGAAGGGAGUCCUACUGUGGUCAGGACCCUGAAACCCUACUUCUCCAUCCCUCCCUAUUGGCUCCGUGGCCUCCUAACACCUACCCUGGUUUGAGAGCUGGGAAUCUUUGUGCGGGCGACUUUAUCCAGCAUAUUGAUUUUCAGCACUCAAAGCCCAGACACUCAUAGAUAAGACAUAUGUUCAUAGUCUCACCUGGGAAUUUCCUCCUCUCCCUUUUCCGGGUAAGCAGGUGGGUGGACACAUGUAAGAGGGCAGCUUUAGAAGAAGAGGCUUUGCCGAAGAGAAAGCUCUCUUCCCGCAUUUCUGUGGCCUUAUGUAAAUCACCUCUCCCCUCAGAGCCUCAUUUUCCCAUCUGUAAAAUGGGAUGAGAGCCUCUCCGAUCCCUCUGGGCCUGACCUCUGUGCUUGGAGAGGCAAUAUGGGGCAAGGGUAAGAGCUCUCGACCUGGAAUCUAAAAAACAGAGAGAAGAGUAUUUGGAGGGCAAACCCCCAGGGCUCUGCUGAGAAUUCAAUGAGGUAAUAUGCCAGAAAAUGCUCUGCAAGUACACGGGUCAGUCAGAGAAUGCUAGCCGCCGUAACAAAUAACCCCAAUGUCAGUGGAUUAGCACAACAAAUGCUUAUUUCGCACACCGCCAUCCAGCGUGGGCUCCAGUCUUCCGGGGACUGAGUUCUCCCUCCUUCUUGUGGUACCGCCGUCUUGAACAUGUCUUCCAAGGUCACCACGGAAUGGGAAGAGAGAGGUGGAGGCUAGUGCAGGGGGUUUUAGGACCGGGCGUGAAUGUGUCAUAUGUUGUGUCUACCGUAUUCCAUUGGACAGGACUCAGCACAUGGCUCCCAUAACUGCAGGGGAGUCUGGGAAAUGUAGUCUUCCCGUCUACCCGCGACAACCAUGAGAUUGGUUUGAUGAACACAGGACAUUGUCUUGCCAUGCCUGCGUACGACUUUCUGUGUGUAUUCCUUUCAAGUGCUAUUUAAAUGUCAGAUAUUAAUAGUAACGUGACAAUAUCCCACAUUCCUGGAUGGAGGGGAGGAUAAUAACUAGGAAUGUUUAUUUCUUUAUUGGCCGUUCUGAGUCAAGAAUGAUGGUAGACGUGCAUGUCGUAUAUGAACAACCUUGAGAUGCUUGAGGCACAGAAAUACUCCAUUUCUUUCUUUUGCUUCAUGCAAUCAAAUCCAGCUUCAAGCUCUCCUUUGCCAUGGCCAGUACAAAUUCCAAUGUCAUUCACUUGGGGGUGGUUCCCCCUCUCUGUGAUCUUGUAAGCCCAGGGGUUACAAAGUGUUCAUGAUGGAAAAGUCCGUGGUCUUCAGUCCUCUGUAGCUGCAGCCCCCUGAGCAGGUUGGCUAGGCUUGCAUGGUGCAUAGGGAGAGAGGGGGUUCCUUUGGGGACAUUCUUGAGUGCUGGCAAAGGUGACCCAGGAGACCACAGCAGUGACCCUCAAGGUCAGAGGUUCGUGCUCACCUGCCUUCAGCCGAGAUCUUUGCCACCCCCGGUGAGCUGUGUCCCAGCCAGCCCUGGUCUGGGCUCCCCCAAUCCAGGGGACUCUAGCCUCUCUGCUUCCCUUUGGGUUAUCACUCUCCUCUAGAACUAAAAGCACCAGCCUUCACCCCCACCCCUCUGAGAUAAUCCAGCUCAUCGUCUCCGUCCCCUUGACAGGGGUCUCAAACUCAGGGGCCGGGUAGAGGGUGUGGAUGGGGGAAACCAGGAGGGGAGGCACUGUGAGGAACCGGAAUAGCUGUGCCCCAUCGAUUGCCCCCAUGUGAGGAGAAUGCGUGCCUGAUGUCAACGGACUUUCAAGAGAUGCCAGAAACCCAACUUUUAUGCAAAAUCUCCUGAUUUGUCAAUGUUGGCAGCUGAUUCCUUUUCUUCUCCUUUCCUUUCGAGACACUCUGCAAGCCCAAACAAAACACGUCUGCAAGCCAGAUGUGGACCAAAGCCCGAGAGUUUGUUCUGGCUGCCCAGACUUUCGAAAACACACUUUAUUUGGGGUUGUCUCCUGGGGCUCCUGGCAACUUCUCUAUUUUUUCUCUGAAACAUAAAAGCUGAGCUCCCUUUGCAAAGCGGCGGAACCCAGGGCUCAGAAGACAAAGGCUUGACUGCCCUUUGAGUGAGGGGGCAGGGGGGAGAUCACCGCGUUCACGGUUCCCAGCCUGUGUGGUCCUUGGUGAGGCGGGUGGAGAAGGAGGAGGAAGGAAGGAGGAAAGAAGAAAGUAGACAUAACAUAAUGUUUUCAUAACUCAGCCUGCACUGACUCCUUAAAUCUUCAUGCAAGGUGGAGACAGGUAGAUGGGAAGACAGCUUGUGGCCAGCCUUCGCGCCAGGCUUCGUGAUCCUGGCCAGUGUAGGGGGAUGCUUCAGUGCCCAGCAGGGCGGCUGGGUGGCCAGACGUGGGGUGUAACAGCCAGUGCCCGUUCUCAGCCUCAGGGAAGGCUCCAGAACGGGCCUCGAUGUGCCCCUGGGCGACAGGGGAGAGGCAGGUAGAAGGUGAGGGUUUCGGAGAAGCCAGGUGGCCGACUUAACAGAGCUCACGCCAGAGCCUUGGAGGGGCCGGUCCCCAAGCCCCGGCUCACCCCGGGUCCUCGGCUAACCCCAUUCUAACUCCUGAACUGCAACCCGCUGGUUUCUGAAAAUUGUGAUCUCGAUCCUGCUUGCUUCCCAAGGCGCUCGAGGCAAUUAAGAUCUAUGUUCAGUAGGAUGUAAACCAAGAGCAGGAAGAGGAUGCGGGAGGAGAGGUCCCUGACCCCUGAGAUGAGCUGAUUUGUGACGCUGGGCCCCAGUCUGACUGUAAGUUUCCUGACAAACAAGCGAAAGAGGAACCCCAGACACGCGUGUGGUUUGCAGCGUCCGAGAACCCAAGAACGCACACGCUUGCCUGUAAAUUCGAUCUCUUGUCGGGAGCUGGUGGUAAAGAGGGGUCUGUGGUGUGGACAGCGUCUCCCGGGCUUCCUGUGUUAGUCCGGAGCCUUCGAGAAGCAGGGUGGCCACGCGGGGACCGAGGUGGGGGGCACACCUUGGGGGCAGGAAAGGGAGAGGGUGCGGACCGACAUCUGGCUCCGAGGGAAGGAGAAAGAGAAGGGCUCAGCUGGGCGGCUGGGGGACCCCUGCGUGGAAGUCAGGCACGGAGAAGGGCCCCAGUGUCCGAGGAGGAGACUGUGAGGGCCCACGGCUCCCCGUAGUGGCCCCACAGCGGGCGACGGGCUGCCCGCACAGAGCCCAGCUAACCUCCCCGUAGUGGGAGAUGGGCCAGGGGCCUCCUCCCCGUCACCAGUGAACCUCACUUGUUCAGAUGGUGAGGACUGGAUCUGAGGCCAUUUCAACAGGGGACGGAGAUUGGGCUCGGCCCCCAAAGAGGCAGAUGGCUGGGGGGUUGUAGCCAGUGGACGGCGAGGGGGCCAGCGGAUGGGAGAUCCCUGGGAGGAGACACCGAGGGUGCAGGUUCCUGCUGAGAGGGUUCUGCUAAAACCAGUCCACAGGCAGGCGGAAGGCAGGACCGGGGCCAAGAUGGGGGGUGGGGGUGGGGAAGGCGACUUAGAGCCUGAGUUCACUUGAUCAGGGGCACGGUCACCUCCUGCCCCAGCAUUUAUCUGACCCGUUUCUUUCGGUUGGCUUUAAAUUUUCACUUCAUGUAUCGAUUGAGGAACCCCUUAGAAAUAUUGUUUUUCGGGGGCGCCUGGGUGUCUCAGUCGGUUGAGAGUCUGAGUCUCGAUUCUGGCUCCGGUCAUGAUCUCGUGGUUUGUGGGUUCGAGCCCCAUGUCGGGCUCUGCGCUGGCCUGCUUGGGGUUCUCUCUCUCUCCUCUCUCUCUCUCUCUCUCUCUGCCCCUCCCCUGCUCGCUCACACUCUCUGUCUCUCAAAAUAAACAUUAAAAAAAAAAUUUUUUUUUGAGCACACAUUAAAAUAACAGCCUAGUGAUUCGAUUGUUUUAGGACCUUUUAAGGCCCUAUAAAACCAUCCCGUGUACCGCCGGGGGCACACUGACAGCACUCUGGUUUUACGGAGCACACGGAGAUGGUGACUGGAAGGCUGUGUUUCGGGCCCGUGUGCCCGCUGUCUGCUCCGAGCUGGCCACUUUGGGACACCUCUCGGGGCUUGGAGAAGGGGGGCUGAAGACGGUCUCAGGGAGUGCAGGGGUGGGAGGGAGGGGGACGCCGGGGGCCCCAAAGCUCCUGGCCUCAAUGCUCGCCCGCCCCUGCCGCCCAGAUGCUGAGCUGGAUCUCCAACGGAGCGUGCAGGCCGUGCUCCGGGAGCUCGGCGCCCAGGCCCCGUCCCUGCAGAGCAACCAAGGUAAAAGCCAGCAGGCAGCCUCUGCCACGAUCUCUCCCAACCACCUUCCCAACCCCCCCCGGCGAACCAAAUUCCCCUCGACCCUCUGCGCCCGCCAGACUCCCAGAAACGCGGCCCCGGGCGCAGACCUACAAACAUCGCCGGUCCCUAAGCCACAGGCAUACACCUGUGUCCCCCUAGUGUCCCUCUGCCUGCCUUUCCGCCCUGAGAGGCCCCUGUCCUCAAAAAUCAGCAGAGCAGAAUUCCACGGGUGAGAAGUCCAGCCAUGUGGCCCCAGGGCCAGAUGCCCAGCUGAGGGGUCAGACUCGUGGUUGGUCAGAGUCACGGUCUGGGGCUCCAGGGCGCAGGGUCCCGCUCCGGGGGUCCCCCGCUAAGAGCCCCCUGCCCCACCUACGUGUGCCGGGCUCCCCUUUCUCCCGGCCAGGCAUGUGGAGAUGGUCCCUGCAUAAGAAGGUGGAGCGAGAUCCUGGAAAGAGUCCGGCUCUGGUCCGCAUUCUGCUCAGAGAACUGGAGAAGGUGGGUUCUGGGCUUCGGGGAGGCGGGCGGGGGUAGGAGAGAGGGAGAGGGAGAGAGAGACCCAGCCAGCCGCGGCCUCGGGGCCAUCAGAGCCGCGUCCCCCAGACUCCGGUCACUUGUGGGCUGUCAGCAUGAUGUUUGCCAGCCGUGUCUCCCUCCUGCACGCUUCUGUCAGUGAGAUUUUCUUGAUCCUGACUCUCUUUACUUCACUUGACUUAGCCCGUUCCCCCAGGACCAUAAAUGGAAAAGCCCCCACUGGCAGAGAGACAGAAUACCGAUAAACAUAAGUGCCUAUUUCUUAUGACCUUUUCUUUUUUUUUUUUUUUGACGUGAUUUUUUAUUAACACUGAAUAAAAAAAUAAUAUCCACUCUGGCUGUCUCCUGCAUUGCAAGGGGAAGAGUGGGGGGAGGGCCUGGCACUUCCCGCCCCCGCCCCCCAGGCGCAGGGCAAGCCCCGCCUCCGGGGCUCCCCUGCUUCCCUUAGGGUGACGUUUUCAAAAUCGUUCUUGGACCGCCGAAAGUGACCCUCCACACCACCCCAUGCCCCCUCCCCCGGGCCCCCAGACCAGUAAAUGCCCUGCGAUUCUCCUGUUUUCCAGGCAGAGAGCGAAGACAUCCGGCAUGCGAUCAUUCCCUUGCUGCACACGCUAAUGUAUGUGCUCACUAAGGUGAGCGUGACGCCGAGGGUCAGGGCGGUCGUGGCAACCCACACGUGGCAGGGCCAGACACUGUCCUCUCCCGCAGGAGACACGCAGUCUCUGCCUGGGCGCGCCUAGGAGAGCUCUUGGGUGGCCUGCCCCAAACCGUCUUCUCCACACUCGCGGUGCCCUGCCCCUAAUACACAAAGCGGGCUACUGGGGAGGAAGUUGGGAAAGCGGUGCGAGCGGGAGGCAUGAGAGCCUCGAAUGCCGGAAUGGGGUCCUCGGGAUUGCUCCCAUGCGCCCCGGGGGCCAUCACUGAUGCCUGCUUAGGAAAGGCACGAGCCACGGAGAAAAUGUCUCGACAGCGGCGAUCAGGAGCUGUGUACGAUCGCGGGGGGUGGGAGAGGGCAGCGAGGGAGAUGAGGGGCACAGAGAACAGUUCGGGGGCUGCCGGGAUCCGGGGGCAGGAGGGGGCUGGGCUCGGGCCAAGGCAGAAGGCGCAGGAGGAAGCGGACCCCGUGGCCACCGCACUGGGAGCGUCAUGCCUGCGGGAUAUCGCGCCCAGCAGGCUGGAGACGAGACUCCAGGUUUUCAGCCUAGAGCCCCGCAGGAAUGCGCUGCCCGGACAAGCGGAGGGGAGGGGAGGGGAGUGGAUUUGCUAGCAGGACAGGGUGAGACGGAUCCCCUUUGGGGCGAGUUUGAGUGGGGUGUCCGAGAGGUGUCUUUCAGGUGCCGGGCGAAGAGACUAGGGGUGUACGUUUGGGAGGGAGGUGUGAGCCCAGGUCUGGCUGUCAGACCUGCCUUUCCUCCUCUCCACCCCACCCUCCCACCCACCCAGCACCCUUUGUGACCUAGGGCUCUGGGCACCCAACUCCUCCCUCCCACCCAGGCCACGGGCAUCACGGAGGAGCUCUACCGGAGAACCUACACCUUUUGCACAAGGUUGCUAACCCUGCCCGCCCCCUACUGCACGGUCGCCUUGGACUGCGCCAUAAGGCUGAAAACCGAGACCGCUGUCCCAGGUGAGAGCUGUCCCAGGUAGGAGCUGUCCCAGGUAGGACCUGUCCCAGGUGAGGUCUGUCCCAGGUGAGAGCUGUCCCAGGUGAGACCUGUCCCAGGUAGGACCUGUCCCAGGUGAGGUCUGUCCCAGGUGAGAGCUGUCCCAGGUAGGAGCUGUCCCAGGUAGGACCUGUCCCAGGUAGGAGCUGUCCCAUGUGAGAACUGUCCCAGGUAGGACCUGUCCCAGGUGAUACCUGUCCCAGGUAGGAGCUGUCCCAGGUGAGGUCUGUCCCAGGUAGGACCUGUCCCAGGUGAGGUCUGUCCCAGGUGAUACCUGUCCCAGGUAGGAGCUGUCCCAGGUGAGAACUGUCCCAGGUAGGAGCUGUCCCAGGUAGGACCUGUCCCAGGUGAGACCUGUCCCAGGUAGGAGCUGUCCCAGGUGAGGUCUGUCCCAGGUAGGACCUGUCCCAGGUGAGGUCUGUCCCAGGUGAUACCUGUCCCAGGUAGGAGCUGUCCCAGGUGAGACCUGUCCCAGGUAGGAACUGUCCCAGGUGAGACCUGUCCCAGGUAGGACCUGUCCCAGGUGAGGUCUGUCCCAGGUGAUACCUGUCCCAGGUAGGAGCUGUCCCAGGUGAGACCUGUCCCAGGUAGGAGCUGUCCCAGGUGAGGUCUGUCCCAGGUAGGACCUGUCCCAGGUGAGGUCUGUCCCAGGUGAUACCUGUCCCAGGUAGGAGCUGUCCCAGGUGAGACCUGUCCCAGGUAGGAACUGUCCCAGGUGAGAACUGUCCCAGGUAGGAACUGUCCCAGGUGAGACCUGUCCCAGGUAGGAGCUGUCCCAGGUAGGACCUGUCUCAGGUGAGACCUGUCCCAGGUAGGACCUGUCUCAGGUGAGACCUGUCCCAGGUAGGAGCUGUCCCAGGUAGGACCUGUCCCAGGUGAGACCUGUCCCAGGUGAGACCUGUCCCAGGUAGGAGCUGUCCCAGGUGAGACCUGUCCCAGGUAGGACCUGUCCCAGGUGAGAACUGUCUCAGGUAGGAGCUGUCCCAGGUGAGACCUGUCCCAGGUGAGACCUGUCCCAGGUAGGCGCUGUCCCAGGUGAGACCUGUCCCAGGUAGGCGCUGUCCCAGGUAGGACCUGUCCCAGGUGAGACCUGUCCCAGGUAGGCGCUGUCCCAGGUAGGAGCUCUCCCAGGUGAGACCUGUCCCAGGUAGGAGCUGUCCCAGGUAGGACCUGUCUCAGGUGAGACCUGUCCCAGGUAGGAGCUGUCCCAGGUAGGACCUGUCCCAGGUGAGACCUGUCCCAGGUGAGACCUGUCCCAGGUAGGAGCUGUCCCAGGUGAGACCUGUCCCAGGUAGGAGCUCUCCCAGGUGAGACCUGUCCCAGGUGAGAGCCGGCUCAGGUAAGAGCUGCAGUGCAGCUACAUCCACGGUCUUGCUUUUCCUCCGAGGUUCCUGGAGCUCAAAAGUCCCAGCACCUUCUGUGGAGGGUGCGAAAUGGGGGUCAGAGACCAGAAGCCGGUUGGCUGAUGCGGUCUGCUUUGCAGGGACACUGUACCAAAGGCUGGUCAUUGCCGAGCAGAACCUGACGAGUGAGCUGUACCCCUACCGGGAGAGGUGAGUGACCCCUGGCAGCAUGCUGGCUUCCGCCCCCUCCAGGUGUUGGGACGCCAUGACUGCUCACUGAGGGGGACAAGGCUGGGUGGAGAGGAACCCCAGCAGAGUUUCCUGUCCAUGGCAUUUGUCCCGGGGGGAGUGUAUUUGCAAGGGUGGGCGGGGCCUGCCUUCUCUGGAGAUCACAGGAAGCAGGGUGGUGGGUCUGUCCUCUGGGGCUGGCUCAGAGCCCUCCCGCUCACAUGCAGAAGGUGACACGAGCACUGGGCCAGCCUGGAGUUCUGUCGUUCCACCUCCGUCCCGCCCUUGGCCAUGAUGCAGCAUCAGCCGGCCAGCCAGCUGGCCAGAGGUGGCUCCCGGCUGCUUACGGUCCAGGCCACAGUCACACCGUGAAAUCUGGGGCUUUCGUCUGUGCCUGGCCCUUCGGAUAAGAUUGAGGAAAUGUCUGCUGUUGGUGUGGGGAAGAGGGGCCGGUCAAGUUGGGGGUGCCGCUGCUGACCCGGCCCUGGAAGGUGUGGCUUGAGGCUGUGUUCAUGGGGGGUGCAGGGAGGUGAGGUGGAGAGACCCAGAGGAGCCGGGAGCCAGGAAGGAGAGCAGGGGCGGGAGGGAGAGCCAGGCGCUGGCAUGAUAGGGUGAUGGGAGGAGGCAGGGCUCACUCAGGGUCCAGAGUCCGCUUGGGCAGGAAGGAAUUAGGGUCCCUCCUGGAGGGCGAUGUCAUCAGUGGACCACAGAGCUGAGGGGGUGGGGGACAGGAUUUAGCUUGGGACUUGCCUGGACGCGAGACUAGGGGGCACCAACGGGGGCCAGCUGUUCCUGCCUGCUCUCUGAUUUGCCACAGUCCCCACUCCUCCCUAUUGCUGUCCCCCCCGAGACUUCUUUUUUAAGUUUAUUUAUUUUUGAGAGAGGGCAGCGCAGAGAGAGAGGGAGAGAGAGAAUCCCAAGCCGUGAGCGCAGAGCCCGAGGCGGGGCGCCACCCCACCAACCGCGAGAUCAUGACCUGAGCCGACAUCAAGAGUCUGACCCUCAACCGACUGAGCCAUCCAGGCGCCCCAACCCCCAUAGACUUUGGAAUCCGAGGCUCCUGUUUUUGGAGGAACAAAAUACUCGGGGGCUGCAGGGCUCCACGCUGCCCUUCCAGGCGCUCUCCCCGCCGCAGCCAUCCUCUGCAGCAACCCCCCCCCCCCCACCUCUGCCCUCAGAGCAUUCCUCUUCGUGGACCCCGAGCUGGUGUCCCCGUCCGUGUGCGGCGCGCUGCUGCUGGAGCUCGAGGCGGCGCAGGCGCAGCAGACGCCCGAGGCCUGCAUGCGCCACGUGGUCGCCCACGCCCUGCAGGCCGCCCUGGGGGACGCCUGCCACGCAGGCGCUCUGCAGAGGAAGCUGCAGGUAACCGCCCCGCCCCAGCCCUCCUUGGCUGCGCCCGGGGCCCUGCACGCACACGCCAGCCCUCCUCCCCAUCUGCUCUCCUUCUCCCCGGUUCAGACCACCCUUGCCCCCUCAAUGCCGAAGGAGUACGCACUCGUUAAGGAAAAUCCGGGGCGGGAAUGCACGCAGGCCAAAAGAGGAAAGAAAAAUCGCUCACACCCGCGCACCCAGAUGUAUUCCCAAUCGACGUUUUGGUCUGUUUCCUUAAUAAUACAGACGACGAUAACCCGGACAGGUGCUGUCGACUGAAUGUCUGUGGUGUCCCAGGCACGGCGUUAGACACUUUUUACAUGUAUCACAUUUAAAAAAGGCUCACCACGUGUCGACAACAUUGUGAAAUGGGUAUAAUCAUUAAAACUGGGGCACAGAGAGGUUGAUAACCUGCCCGUGGUCACACAGGUACAAAGUGACUGGGUCAGGAUUUGAACCCAGGUCUCUCCGACCUCAAACUUAUGUUCCAUCGCCUCCCGGCCCCACAGCCCCACCACCCUUUUUUAGCAGGAGAUACCAAACUCUGUAUACAGUUGUCCCAAAUUGGGGUGAGAGGCCGGGCCUCAGUACUCCCGCACCUAUUAAUUAUUGGACGUGGACGGUCCUCAGGAAGGGACAUGACCGUGGAGAGUGGCAUUUUUUUUUUUUUGCCGGAGGCUGACUAUGGAAAGGGACUCAGCUGACAGCUGACGGUUGCUAAUGCUCCCAGCAGCGGGGCUAAUGAGUGCCUCAGUCUUGAAGGUGGGAAUCCGGGGAGCCACCAUGGCAUUUAUCACACUGUUGCACAUGGAAUCAAAGCCAAAGACAUCUCAAUGGCCUACAAGACCCUCGAGAUCUGUCCUACCUCCUCGCUUCCUCUCUGAUUCCAUCUGAUUCCAUCUUCUGUAGUUUCCCUCUCUUCCUCUCUGCUCCAGCUACAUAGGUCUCCCUAUUGUCCCUCAAACAUGCCAGGCAUGCUUACACCCCAGGGCCUUUGCACAUGCCGUUUCCGAUGCUUGGAACAUUCUCUCAGAUAUCCACACGGCUCGCUCUCUCACUUCCUUUAGGACUUUACUCAAAAGUCACCUGUCGGUGAGACCUCCCUGAUCACAUUAUCUAAAAUGUCAGCCCCUGCCCCCAAUUUCACAUCCUUCUACUCUGCAAUUUAUCGUAUUAUAAAUUUUACUUCUCUUGUUUAUUAUCAUGGGGGGGGUGGAGAGAGAGAGACAUACACUAUAAUAUAAACUCCCUGGGAACAGGAAUUUUUAUCCAUUUUGUUCACAGCUGUAUCCCAGCAUCUAGAACAGGGUCCGUUUUGUUCACAGCUGUAUCCCAGCAUCUAGAACAGGGUCUGGCAUGUCGUGGGUGCUCAAUAAAUAUUAGUGUAUUUAUAAAUUGAGCAACGAGAUGAAAUGGACCCGAUGGCCCCUUCUAACUCUGAUUCGGUCAUCUUCUCGUUGCAUUAUCUGUUCGCUCCACAAGUGUUUAUCGGGGCCCUAGCCACCCAGAAUGACCCUCCCUCCCUUAAGCAGGAAGUUAGGAUCCCGCUCAGCAGACCCCCCCCCCCCCCCAGCACAGACCAGAGAGGAAAACAAGCCCUGGUGUGCAGACAACAUAAUGCAGGGCUCUUCUCAGGGUUUCGGAUCUGCACCACGGGAGGGAGGAGCUGAAGAGCAUGGGAUUGCCCAGUGAGAAGCUUUCAAAACCUGUUCCCAUCCAUUCCCAUUAAGGAGAAAGGCUCAGCUUGGUGUUCUACCCCUAACUUCUUUAACAGUCCCUUCCCUUUUUCUUUUUUUUAAGUUUAUUUAUUUUUGAGAGGGAGAGAGAGAGACAGAGAGACAGAGUGUGAGCAGGGGAGGGGCAGAGAGAGAGGGAGACACAGAAUUGGAAGCAGGCUCCAGGCUCUGAGCUGUCAGCACAGAGCCCGACGCGGGGCUCGAACCCACAAGCCGCGAGAUCAUGACCUGAGCUGAAGUCGGAGGCUUAAACCGACUGAGCCCCCCGGGCGCCCCUAACUUCUCUUUUUAAAAAGAGAAGGCAAGCUUCCAGCCAUAAAGCCUUGGCAGGCUGGCGCUUAAAAAUAGGGGUUUGUGAUGAUUAUAUUCAUCUUGGUUAUUUUUCUAAGUGGGACGUGUGACUCUAGCCUUUUUAUAUAGAUUACCAACAUAAAUUGUCCUUCUGAAAUAGCUGGGAACCAAAGUGAGCUGAUUGAAAGAACAAGGGCGAGAAAAUAAUCAUACAGCAACUAUUUAGGGAGCACCCCCCACGCGCCAGGGCGUGUUCUAGGCGCUGCGGAUGCCGCUGUAAACAGACUGCCUUCCUGGAGUUUACAUCCAGGCGGGGGCAGAAGACUGACCCAAGGGAGGCCCUCCCUGCCCCUCUGGGGUCCCGCCGUUGCGGGGCAGCCCCGUGUGGGGGACAGAGAGGACGCUCAGGUGUGGGCAGCAUCGGGCAACCUCGGAGCCCGGGGGGGUGGGGGGGGUGGGGGGGGGAGGCUGGGCCGGGACCCAGGCUCUGGCGCCCCUCCCCGACAGGCCAGCCCUCGCCAGGCCCUGGAGCGCUAUUUCCACGCCGUGGUGGCAGCCGUGGAGCAGAUGGCCAGCGAGCCCAGCCCGAGCCGGGAGGGACACCUGGAGAGGCUGGAGGAGAUUUACUGCUCGCUGCUGGGGCCGGAGGCGGCCGCNGGCCGCCAGGGGGCGCUGCGGCGGUAAGCGGGCGGGGGCGGCGAGGCCCGGCGAGGGCCCGCAGGGGGGCGCCGGAGAGCAGCGCUGCACCCGCCGCGCGUGGCUGAGGCGGGCGGGCCUGGGGACCGAGGGCCGCCCGGGGAACUUGGACGGUCCCGGGCUAAGCAGGCAGAGAGGAAGCCUGGACGGGACCAUAUGGGGGAGAGAGGGUCUCUGCACGCCCCCCGCGCCCUCCAGGAGCCGCAGGGGAGGGCAGAGGAGAAUCCCACAGCCCGCCCCCCCCCNNCCCCCCCCUUCUUUCAGGCGACCCCCUGCAGUCCCCGCAGCCAAACAUCCCUCUGCCCAGCCCCCACAUCACCUUCCACCUGUGGACGGAUGAAGAACAGCUCUGUAAGUGCCUCACACCUCCUCCCUGCAGAGCUGAAGGGAAAUGAGUGUGUGCGUGUGUUUCUCACUGUGUGCGUGUGCAUGCGCGUGUCUGUGUUUGUGUGUGUGCGUGCAACUGUGCCUUCGUGGGCCUAUAGGUCUGUGUCUGCGUGACUGCGUGUAUCACGUGUGUGUAUCUAUUUAUGUCCUUGCGUAUGUGUGUGCACAUCUGUGUGUGUGUGUGUGCGCCUUGCUCCCUGAGCUGUUCUGCACGUCUGGAGCAACGCAUUUUCUCUAUGCUAGAAGAGCUCGGUGCCUUAGCCACUGGCCUCACCUAGAAAGGGCCACAUGCCCAAGCUGAUGCCGACAGACAAUGAAUGUCCCCAAGAAGGAGGCGGUCACACAGAAGUUACAGUUCCAGGAACUGGAGGGGUCUUUCCAGAGAGAUCUGCUUGCCUCACACUUCUGUCCACACUGGCCUUCCCCUCACACUGUCCCUGGCUCUUCUCAAGAGAGGUGGGGGUCGGUGGUGGGGGUUGGGGGAAGUGCUGGCUGGUGAACUAGGCCCAAGUCCCUCCUUGCACGGGCUGGGUCAUCCUAGACUGCCUCUGUGUUCUCGCUGGGCCUCAGUUUCCUCGUGGGUAAUAAAAUGAAAGUAGAUUAGAAAAGCCUAGGGGCACCUGCGUGGCUCAGCGGUUAAGCGUCAGACUUCAGCUCAGAGCAUGAUCUCACCGUUUGUGAGUUCGAGCCCCGCGUGGGGCUCUGUGCUGACAGCUCAGAGCCUGGAGCCUGCUUCGGAUUCUGUGUCUCCCUCUCUCUCUUCCCCUCCCCUGCUCAUGCUCUGUCUCUCUCUCUGUGUCAAAAAUAAACAUUAAAAAAAAUAAUAAAAAUAAGAAAACAUUUCUCAAAAGAAGGAAAGAAAGAAAGAAAAGCCUAGAAGUCUUUCCUGGAGUAGGCAGGGUCUGCUCUCUGUGUCCCAGGGGAAGCCACAGACAAGAAGAGGAUAGGAGGAAGCUAAUAAAGAGGGCUCCAGAGUCAGCGAAGGGGAAGGUACCGAGUGUUGCUGACUACUGCAGGACUUCUCAGAGCCUUGAGUACAUGUACUCAACACGAGGUGUCAGGAAUAUGCGGGCUUCGCCAUCUCUGUUCACCGCAGGACCUUUGUUCCUUCGCGGGGCAUCUUAUGGGGCUUCUGUCCAGCUGAACGGUGUUUGAGAAACACGGGAGCCCAGGCCUUGCAGGGGUGAGGCCCUGCCAGCCUCCUCUGACCUCUCUCCUCCCCGCUCCCCGCAUCCCAGGGAAGGAACUGGUGCUCUUCCUGCGCCCGCGAUCCCAGCUGUGCCUCAGCGCCGACUUGGAGGCCUUGGAUCUGCAGGGCCUCUGGCCGGACCGGGAGCUGGCCCGGGUGUCCAUGCUGUCCACAGACAGCGGCAUCGAGCGGGACCUUCCUCCGGGGGCUGACGAGCUGCCCCUACCCGGCAGCCCCGAGAUGGAGCGCGCCAGGCUGCAGCGCAAAGGCGGCGUCAAGAAGCGGGUGCGGCUCCCGGACGUCUUGAUGCCCGCGUGCUGGGACGGGCCCCCGGGUCUACACCGCAGGACGGGCAGGCCCAGUGGGGACGGGGAGCUACUGCCUGGUGUGUCGCGGCUUCACACGGCCAGGGUGCUGGUGCUGGGGGACGACAGGAUGCUGGGGCGCCUGGCCCAGGCCUACCACAGCCUCAGGUAGGGCCCGGAGGGGGGCGGGGCGGGGCGGGGCGGGGCGGGGGGCGGGGCUGCGUCAGACCCAGCUCGCCGCCGCCGCCAGGGGGCACUGCGCUCACCAGCUCGGCGCUGUACGUUCUGGCGAGCCCGGCAGUCCUCGUCAGUACACCGCGCCCAUUCUGCAGAUGAGAAAACGGGUGCCGAGAGAUUGAGUAGGUCGCUCACAGGCAAGAGAGAAUACAGAGCAGAACCAGGAUGUGGAACCGUUGGAAGCGCAAACCCCUGCCCUGACGCCUGUGUUCCGCCCUCUUUGCUAGGAAACGAGAGACCCAGAAGUGCUGCCUCACCCCCAGGCUCAGUCUACAGCUGUACUACAUCCCCGUGCUGGCACCCGAGGUGGCUGGGCAGGGGAGGGGGGAGGCACGUCGGGGAGGACGUGGGAGGGGCGUCCCCUGCCUCAGGGGCUGGGCAGGGGGCACGCUUUAGCCCCAUCCCUGGCCCCAGGGACUCGGAUCACCCUUCCUUAGGAUGCGGGGCUGGGGGAGCCCUUUGAUCUGUUGGGGGCCAGACUCGCCUUGGCGGCUUUUCAAUUAUUCGAUUGCCCCGCUCUGCUUGCUUAGUGGGGAGCAUUCAAUUCCAAGCAGUAUUUGUCUCUCUACUUCCAAGGCUGAAGAUCGUCGUUCAAUGUCCCCAGCAAGCGGUCCUCAGUUAAGGGUUUACCAGCUUCAUCUGAGGUAUAAGACCUAAUAGGCUUCACGUGGCAGAGAAAGCGAGGCCCCAAGAGGUUCAGUGAUCGGACCGUAAUCCCAAGGCCAGUUUGCGGAGGGGACCCUCUGGCCAGAGACCCGGCCUGAUGGGUCUGCCCCGUCCCCUUGUCCCCAGAAACAGGCAUCAUGCAGACACUCGGAGCUCAGAGAGCUGGCCACAUUCCUGGGCCGCGCAGACCCGUGGUACGAGAGCACCGUGAACACACUGUGCCCGGCCAUCCACAAGCUGGCAGAGAUGGUAAGGGGGCAGCGAGGGCGGGAGGGGGGGCAUUUCAGAUGUUACCCUUGACCCUUGACCUCAAGGGUCAACCCCAGGGCGCCCCCCCCCCCCGGGGGUGGGAUGAGGCCAGAAGGAAAAAUGGAAGCUGGUGGUCGAAAUUCCCCCAGGCACCUGCUUUGGGUGGAACACCGGGGAGACCAUCGAGCAAAACAUUCUUUCCUUAGUGUGUAGGCCAAGGUGCUUCCUGGGACGGCCUCUCCAUGAGUGUAAUAGCCCGUGUUUCCUGAGCACUUACGGGUGCCAGGCGCUGUUCAAGGGCACUCGCACUCCACGGCCCUAUCAAGUAGGCACUCUUGUCGGCAGGUGCGAGUGUAGCCAUCUCCCCACUUUACAGACCACACUACUGAGGCGCGAGAUUAGGGAACUUGUCCAAAGUAAAAAGGCGAGAGGUGGACUCCCACCCGGAACCGGACAGCUUGAUUCCAGGUAGGCGGCUCGUGAGUUCAUCUUCCAGUGACUUGAAAAGAUCUUCAUAUAUUAAGAGAAUCUCUUUUUUGUUUUUUCAAGUAAACUCCACCCCACCCCCCAAUGUGGGGCUCGAACUCACAACCCUGAGAUUAAGGGUCGCUGGCUCUACGCGCUGAGUGAGCCAGGCAGGUGCCCCUACUACUAAGAGAAUCUUAACCUUUUAGCCGUCAGGUGUUGCCGAUGUUUUUUUCCACUGUUAUUUGCCUGCGAAUUUCAUCAGCAGUGUUUUCUGACUUACAGAAAUUUGAUAUAUUUUUUCUUUACUUAUUUUUUUAAUGUUUAUUUAUUUAUGAGAGACAGAGCAUGAGCAGGAGAGGGGCAGAGAGAGAGGGAGACACAGAGUCCAAAGCAGGCUCCAGGCUCCGAGCUGUCAGCACAGAGCCCAAUGCGGGGCUCGAACUCGCAAACCGUGAGCUAUGACCUGAGCGGAAACCAAGAGGCGGACGCUCCACCGACUGAGCCCCCCGGGCGCCCCCAGAAGUUUAAUAUUUCUAUGUCACACUCAGAACUUUUAUCCUUUGAGAGACCUGCCUUUGGAGUCCUGCUUUGAAGGUUCUCCUCUGCUGAUUAAAUUACAUCCAAGAGUAGAUAAAUAUUCCCUGAUGAUUUACUGUAACUCUUUUAAUGCCUCGGUUUUCACAUUUAAAUUAACGUGCCUGCGACUGGUUUCAGUGCUUUGUGUGAAGCAUGCGAAUGUCUUUUUUCCAAAUGUGUAGCCAGUUGUCCUAAAGCUAUUUAUAGCACAAGCCAUCUUGCCCCAUCAGUCUGAAAUGCCACUUUUCUCGUUUACUAAAUUUUUAUUCUUUCUUGUUGAUCCAUUCAUCUCCGGACACAUUAGUACUUUCAUAUUUUAAUAGCAGGCAGGAUAAACCGACUUCAUUACUCUUCUUCCGGAAAAUGUUUCAGACUAUAUCUGUUUCCAGAUAAAUAUUAGAAUUUUGUCAAGUGUUUUUUUUUUAUUUUUUUUUUAACGUUUUUAUUUAUUUUUGAGACAGAGACAGAGCAUGAACGGGGGAGGGUCAGAGAGAGAGGGAGACACAGAAUCCGAAACAGGCUCCAGGCUCCGAGCAGUCAGCACAGAGCCGAUGCGGGGCUCGAACUCACGGACCGAGAGAUCAUGACCUGAGCCGAAGUCGGACGCUCAACCAACUGAGCCACCCAGGCGCCCCUGUCAAGUUUUUUUUUUUAAUCCACCCCACUCCCCCACCACCUUGGGAUUUUGAUUGAAAUUUGGAAGAGACUUAGCCUCUUUAGCGUGUUAAGUUACUCCCUGUGGGAGCACGGGAUUUAUCUUUAUUUACAAAAGUCUUGUACGUCCCUCAGGAUAGCUACACUUUUAGCAUGUUUUUCUUGCUGAAUCUGCUCCUUACGUUUGAUGGCUUUUUUUUUUUUUUUUGUAGUUGUGGGUGGUGUCUCUUUCCCCUUAUAUUUGGGUAGCACUUGCUGUUGUAUGAAGGAGUCUAUUGAGUUUAGCUACCUUAUUUUCUUUAAGUUUUUGUUUAAUGUUUAUUUAUUUUUGAAAGAGAGUGCAAACAGGGGAGGGGCAGAGAGAGAGGGAGGCACAGAAUCUGAAGCAGGCUCCAGGCUCCGAGCCGUCAGCCCAGAGCCCGACGCGGGGCUCGAACCCACGAACCGCGAGAGCAUGACCUGAGCUGAAGUUUGACACUUAACUGACUGAGCCCCCCCCCCAAACACUCCUAGGUACCUUAUAUUCUAAGUUGACACUUUACUGAGAUCUUUGUGUCAUUUUAUUGCCUGACUGAUUGGGGUUCUUUCUUAUACCUUCUAAUAAAAAUGUGGGGGGGGGGGGGGGCCUGUUUCCUGAAUUAUUGCUUACCUGAAAAGUGUCUUUGUGCAUACACAGAAGACUGGUUAGCCGAGUACUGAAAUACCUUUUCCUCAAAACUUGGAGGCUAUCAGGGGUGCCUGGGUGGUUCAGUCGGUUGAGCAUCUGACUCUUGAUUUUGGCUCAGGUCAUGAUCUCAUGGUUUGUGGGUUCGAGCCCCGCAUCGGGCUCUGUGCUUACAGUGCAGAGCCUGCUUGGGAUAUUCUCUCUCUCUCUCUCUCUCUCUCUCUCUCUCUCUCACGCUUUCUCUCCGCCCCUGCUUUGCUCCUGCUCAUUCUAUCUCCCCCAAAAUAAAAACACUUGGGGCACCUGGGUGGCUCAGUCGGUUGAGCGUCCAACUUCAGCUCAGAUCAUGAUCUCACGGUCUGUGGGUUCGAGCCCCGCGUCGGGCUCUGUGCUGACAGCUCGGAGCCUGAAGCCUGCUUCGGAUUCUGCGUCUCCCUCUCUCUCUUCCCCUCUCCUGCUUAUGCUUUGUCUCUCUCUCUCUCUCUCAGAAAUAAAUAAACAUGAAAACAUUUUUUAAUAAAUAAAUAAGGCUUGGAGGCUGUUAGGGGAGGAACAUCUGAUGCGGGUCUCACUUCUGCUCUUUGGUUGGUACCUUUUUUCCCGCCCCCAAGCCGGGACACAUGUAGAAAUCAGGGUUCCCCCUGCUUGCUUUGCCCUAAUAAUUAGCAGUUUGUAUGGCCCCCACACUUAGUCCAAACGCAGUUUCCACAUGAAGAGACUGGAAACAGUGUGAGAGAUACAUAGAUCGAUAGACAGAUCGAUCGAUCGAUAGAUAGAUAGAUAAUGAUAUAAUACUUGAAUACGACAAGAGCUAAAGGAGGCAGCAAAUCACCUCACCUCUCGGGCCCAAGGUCACCUGGCCAGUGAACGCCUAAUCCAAACCCGGAACUCAGUUCAGCCCCUGUGAUCAUUGGCUAUGUUCUCAAGCAUCUGGUCCUUGAGCUCCUUCCCUUCCAGCUAGAGGCGCCCCCUGUGUCUUUGUGCAAAGUGGAAUGCAUCAGAGGCCCUGGGGGGCCGGGACCCUGGACAGGUAUAUUUGCCUGAGGAGUAGACAUCAGGCGGUCAGCAGGGCCUGGACUGCAUUGAGGGACCAGUUGGGUUUAGUGCCUCACAGAGGGGACACUGGAGCCUUGGAGCUUCUCCGUUCCGAAAACAGCACCUCCCACCAUAGCCCGGAGGGUGGCGGCUGAAGGCCUUCCCUGCCCCCCUCACAGCCUCCCUCCCUGGACACAUCCCGGACCGUGGACCCCUUCAUCCUCGAUGUCAUCACCUACUACCUUCGCAUGGGCACCCAACCCAUCUACUUCCAGAUCUACACAGUCAAGGUAAGUAUGGCCCUCCCCCCGCCCGCCGGGACCCCACCGCCAAAACACUCCGGCUCUGGGGAGACACGGGUUAGCAGGGCACACGUCACAGACCCACCCAGACGCUCCUGGUUGCUAACCGUGUCUUUCCAAUCUUUGGACGAAUCAGAUAAUCAUUAACUUCACAGGCAUGCGGCCUGAGCAGAAGUACAUCUUCGCGUGGAAAGAUGCUUUAGGCCUUGACCCCGCGGAGGGCUGGCGAUAGGGCUGCUGCGAAAGUUCUCCCCAGCAAUCGCUUCAUCUCAGAAAUCCUCAACGCUCACUGUCCAGUCUCUGAUCACACACUGCCGCCCCUGCGAGGCCCCCUCCCCUUCUCCCCCCCACCCCUCCGCCCCUGCGUCCUCGCUUCCCCUCUGUCUCCCCUCCCAGCAAAACCCGAGCCCAGGGCAGCGCUGAAGUGCGCCUCAGCUCUUGCUGAGCUCGGGGCCCCUGAGCACCUGCUAAAAGAUAAGCCGAAGCCCUCUGGCCGGACACGGAGGCUGUGUCCUUUCCCCGCCACAGUGGCUGUUCCCGCCUUCCCUGCUUUCCUUGAGUCCUCACUCUCAGCAAGUGGCUUGGCCACCCACUCCGCUGGGGGGAAAGUGGAGACCAUUAGGUGUCCCCAAAGCUUCUGUCCAUGCCUACGCCUGCAUGCACACCUCCCCAGCAGACAUGAAGCCCCCCACCCACCCACCAGUUCAGGCAAAACCCCAUGAUGCAUGCCCUUCCGGUCUGUUCCCGCCUCCUCCGGGACCGUCCCCCUCAACCUGAGAUUUCGGGAGGCGGCCUCUGCUGCUUCCUCUCUCGUUCCGGAUUCUCGUCCCUCUCUCUGCGUCCCGUGGUGGAAAUUUUCUUCAUGACCUUCCCCCUUUUUGACCUAAAUGAGGCAAUUAGCUCCUGUCGCUGGUUUCCAAAAGGCAAAAUGAAACAACCCGAGUCAAACAAACAGAUGGGAGUAAACCUCUCAGGCUGGUAAAGGGAGUAAACAUCUCAGCCGCGCAAAUAAAUUGAAAGGUUGGGCAUCCCGUCGCUGCCCUUUGGCCAGAGGCCCCCGGAGCAGUCCUUUGAUUGGAAAAGUGUCGGGAUGGGGCCCGCACACAGUCCUGUUUUUUCCUGUGUUUGUGACGGUGGCAGGGUCUGCUUCCUGUCUUGACCCAUCAGGGUCCCAGGGACGCCCCUCCAGCCCCAGAUUCCCAGCCCCAACCCAGAAUGGCUCAGCUCCCUCGAGCCCUUCCGUCCUGGCUGGUCUCGCCUUGCAAGUCAGGAAUGGGGUCCCCCUCUCUGGCCCUUCUGGCGUCCACAAGAGAUUUUCUCACACGGCCCCGCCCCUGUGUGAAUCGUGUGCCCCGUUCCUUCCGCGUUAGACCGUCGUGGUUGCAGACCGUCGAGGACGGCUUGGGUUCUGAUACCAGUGGCUUCCCCAUUUGUAAAUAUAUUACAUCACUGGACACCUGUGGACAGGCAGGUCCGGGAAGCCACUGCCCGGACGGUGGGGGCCCCGGCCCUGCUUCCUUCCAGAAGCUCUCCAACCGUCCACACCUCCUCCCUCCCUCCAGAUCUUCAGGGACCUGAGCCAACACCCUGCAGAGGACAUUUUUCUCACUGAGCUCAAGGUGAAGAUUCAAGACACCAAGCCCCCCAAAGGUGAGCAUCCUCCCUUCCCAGAGCUCACUGACGCAUCUCCGGCCAAGCCCUGUUUCUGGAACGUCCUCCCGCCUCUCACCUGAUGCCCCCCCCCCCAACUCCACCAAAUACCGGGGUGCCCUUGGCUCCUCCAAGCUUGCCUGGACUGGAACCCUCGAGAUGCUUCCUUUCCAUCCAAGGAGAGAUGCUGUCACCAUUCAGCAGCUCCGCUCGGCCUGGGUGAGGCGGGAGGGGCAGGAGCCUCCUACGCGAUUCAGCCUCUUCCCUCCUCCUCCCUCAGAUGGCUUUUCACCCAGGAGGAGGGGCGCAGCCGAGGGCCCAGGGGCUGAGCUCAACAUUUGCUACCAGAAGGUGAGUGGUUCGUGGGGGGCGGGGGGCUGCUCAGGAGGAGGUGGGAGGCACAGGGUUGGAAGCAGGCAUCAGGGACAGGCUGGUGGGAGCAGACAGACAGCCUUUGGAGAGUUUUGCAGGGAUGAGCAAAUUACCACGGGCCUUGCACGCAGCCGAGGAGGCCACGUGAUUUAAGGGACAAGGGGCCUGUCCUGUUGCUGGAGGAUGCCUUCCUCCCUAGCUGGCCAGAUGCUUGAACUGAUAGCAUGGGAGACGCGUCCCUUCGGGCCUGGGAGGCUGACCGUGCUCCCUGGGGCCAAGAGUGCUCUCCGCCUCUCCCCGCCAGCCCCGCCUUGGACACUGGUGACUCGGACAAGAAUCUCAGGGCAGGGGUGGGAAGCAGGACUGUUAACACGAGGGUGCCCGGGGGGACAGGGAUGUUCUGAGGACCCCCUUGGUGCCCGCAUCCCCCUCCAGGCCCUGCUCAGCCACCGGGCCCAAGAGGUCGCCGUUUCCCUGCGGGCCACUGGGCUGGUCCUGAAGACCUUUGCAGCCAGUGACACUGAAGGUAAGGAGCUGGAGAGAGAAGGCACGAGAAGGGGAUGGGCGGGGGGAGAAGGAAAAAGGGGUGAGUGACGGUAGAGGAGGUGACCCAGAGGAAUCGGGCCUCCCACCCAAUCCUGAGGUCGUGCAGGGCUGAGCACCGGGUGCCCGGGUGCGGCAUGGUAUCUGCCCUCACCUCGGGGGGACAUGCAACAGCAUUGGCCUCGGUCCUGCCCUGCAGCUGGAAGGCAGAGGGGCCACACGGAGGGGGUCCUGCCGCCCUCCUGCCUCUGUUGCGUCUGGAGAUGUUUUCUUCUGAAUGUCACUCCACCGGGGGCAGGUAAUCCCCAGUUCACCAAAGGCACCACCGGCCCAAACUCUCUAAUUUUAGCUAAUUACCUAAUAAUAGCUAUGUAUCUAAUAGAUAAUAAGAUAGUUUAUCUAACGCUCCAAAUCUAAAAUAGAGAUGUUAAAAAGAUACCAAUGUAAAUGCCGAUAGUGAAGGAUAAUCGUGAGCUGUUCCGUUAGCCCCCUGGUCUUCUGGAAGAAAGAAAAGUUCGGUGAUGUGAGUGAGGACGUCACCGAACCCAUUGAUCAGAGGCCGGGCAAUGUUCUGUGUCAAACACAUCGACUCUCCGAAUCCUGUGAGAUCGGCAUUAUUAAUACCAGCCGCUUUUUACCAGAGACGUAACUGAAGGCGGAGAAAUGCCGGAGGCCAGGUCACGUCCGUGAGGAAGGGUCAGAGCCCGGAUUCACACCCAGGCCAUCCGGGUGCUGGCUUUCAGGCAAAGGAAGCAGGGGACCCAGCAAGACCACCUUUAUUUGUGCAUCUUUUUUUUUCUUUAAUGUUUAGUUUAUUUUUGAGAAAGAGAGACAGAGUGUGAGCAGGGGAGGGGCAGAGAGAGAGGGAGACACAGAAUCCGAAGCAGGCUCCAGGCUCCGAGCCGUCAGCACAGAGCCCGAUGCCGGGCUCCAACUCAUGAACCAUGAGAUCAUGACCUGAGCUGAAGUCGGACAUUCAAGCGACUGAGCCCCCCAGGCGCCCCCCACUCGUGCACCCUUAACACCGCAAGGGAGACAUGUGACCCUGGGGAUAGCUCUUAGCCGAGAGGUGGGUCAAGAGCACAGGUUCUGGGUCGGGAUGGGGGCUGGCCUCCAGGUCCGGCUUUGCCAUUUACCAUCUGUGUGACCUUGGGCGAGUUCCUCGUGACCUCUCUACCGGUCCUUUCAUUUCUCAAGUGAAGAUGAAGUCCUCAUUCAUGUGCGUCUAGAAAACUAUCGUGUUCGCUCUAAUUGUUAAGUUGUAUUUCCCUCAUUUCCUUCACCAGCAUCCCCCCACCCGCCCACCCCCACGCUAACUUGCGCUCCUCCCAUUGAUCGCGUGCCGGGGGCUUCAGGAAGGGUCCACCGCACCUUCUUCCACGGAAAAGGGGUGCGGGAGGGGGUGCAGAAAGGCACGGGGAGGGGGCUGCCGUGACAGGGGAUACCCUGUGGGUCCCCCAGGGAAAGGCAGUGGAUGUUCAGGAAGGAACUGAAACGCGGUCGGGACCAAGGCGCAGUCAGGAAGUUGGGGGGGCCCGUUACAGCCACCUGCUUCCCAUCUUGUUCCCCCCAGUUUCUGGGCCCGCCCCCGCCCCGCCACCUGCUGUUCCCGUGACAGACCACACGUGCCUGAACGUCAGCGUGACGGAGGUCAUCAAGUCCUCCAACUUGGCGGGAAGGUCCUUCUCU